rnacentral:tmRNA from 1 species
GGGGAUGAUUAGGAUUCGACGUUGAUUACAAAGCUAUGGGUGCAUGCCGAGAGUGUAUAGCGAUCUCGUAAAUAAACGUUAUACAUAGUUA